UACAGAGGUCUCGAGCGUUAGGCGGAAUCACUUGGGCUUAAAGCGUGUGUAGGUGGAUCGUUAAGUACCUUGUGAAAUCCCACGGCUUAACCGUGGAACUGCUUGGUAUACUGGCGGUCUUGAGCCACUUAGGGGCUACCGGAACAAAUGGUGGAGCGGUGAAAUGCGUAGAUAUCAUUUGGAACGCCAAUGGUGAAAACAGGUAGCUGGGAGUGUGCUGACACUGAGACACGAAAGCCAGGGGAGCAAACGGG
rnacentral:rRNA from 1 species